rnacentral:lncRNA from 1 species
UAGAUUGCCCUAGUUAUUUCCCAUAUUAUGUUAAUUUUUGGGUUAACAAAAUGAUACCAAUGCUUAUGAGAGGAAAUAAUCCUGGACUGGGGUGGGUUAGAUAUCUAGUUUAGGUUGUUGUGAAGUACGCUAUUACCUGCUGAAACCGAUAUGCCUAGUUUCAGUUUGCUGAGUAUGCCUAGUUUCAGUUAACUAUCAAUUCAUUCUGUUCUUAAUUAAUUAAUUUAUUUAUUUAUUAGGUGACAGCAUCUGCUUGGCUGAAUGAUCUGAGAAAUCAGAUAGAGCGUACAAGAAUCCUUAGCACUGUCUAUCGUUCUGCUU